GCUAUCCCCGGCAGAAGCGUGGAAUCUAAAUGCAAGAAAGAUGGGAAACCCACUUUGAAGAUGGCGAGUGGGAAGAAUGAGAAGCCAAGCCUCUCCUGCCUCUGGGAGGAAUGCACUGACUGCACAGUUUGGGAAACACUAGGCGGAGGAAGUGAAUGGAGCAGCUGUUGCCACAAGAGGAUUGCAUUGACUAGUCAUGACCUCUCGAGGUGAAUGAAAGGAACAGCAUUACUGGGGGUCCCAGCGUUGGAAUGUGACAUGAAGAUUCCCGCCAUCGCUGCCUGUUAAUGAACACUAAAGGAGCAAUGUUGCUGUUAUUGGAACAUGGAGAUGAAUAUUUCGAAACUUCGGAAACACCAACGACUAGGAUGCGAGUUAUAAGUUUGAUGAAGAAAUAAUUGAAGAAAGUUAAGAUUGUAGGGGAAUUCAUUCAGAAAACACUGGUGGAAAGGUCUAACAUGUUGGCCUAUGUUUGUUCAAAGCAGCUGGAAUAUUUCAGUGUGCUCGGAAGUGCACAGGGAGCUUCUGCAGCACAGCAGGGCUCUCCGAACACAGGGCCGCCUCUGUAUUUUCAACCCCCUGAUUUGGAGAU